AUGGAGGAGGGCACGGCCGACGCGGAUGGCGCGGUGGAAGGUGCGGUGGAGGAGGGCCACGGCGCUGCACCGGGCGGCCAUGGUGGGGAGGCGGCGGGUGGUCAAACAGUGGAGGAAGGAGGAGGCUGCACUGUGCAGGGCAAACCCGCGACGCCGGAGGGCCAUGGCCAUUUGGAGGUCUCAGCCUUGCGCGGUCAAGGCGAGCCGCGGAAGGGUGGCCUUCCAUCACCGAAGAAGGGCGACGGCGCUGCAUCGCGGGCGGAGGGCGGCCAAGACGUGGAGGAGGGGCGAGGCAGCGCUGUGCACAGGGGAUAUUUCAUCAAAGUACAAGGGAGGCUCUGUCCAAUUUUCCAAUUAAAAAUGAAGAUGUGCCAAAUAGAUCACAUUGCCAUCCUUUUCUUUUUUACUUCCAGUUAA
rnacentral:rRNA from 1 species